ACGCGAGUUCUAUCGGGUA
rnacentral:snRNA from 1 species